AACGCAGGUGGUUUGGUAAGUCAGGGGUGAAAGUCCACAGCUUAACUGUGGCACUGCCUUUGAUACUACCUUUCUUGAGUGCAUGAGGGGGAAGCGGAAUUCCGAGUGUAGAGGUGAAAUUCGUAGAUAUUCGGAGGAACACCGGUGGCGAAGGCGGCUUCCUGGCAUGUAACUGACACUCAUGUUCGAAAGCGUGGGGAGCAAACAGGAUUAGAUACCCUGGUAGUCCACGCCCUAAACGAUGGGCACUAGGUGUGGGAGGUAUCGACCCCUUCCGUGCCGCAGCUAACGCAUUAAGUGCCCCGCCUGGGGGAGUACGGCCGCAAGGUUGAA
rnacentral:rRNA from 1 species